rnacentral:rRNA from 1 species
UACGGGGGGGGCAAGCGUUGUUCGGAAUUACUGGGCGUAAAGGGCUCGUAGGCGGCCAACUAAGUCCGACGUGAAAUCCCAAGGCUUAACCUUGGAACUGCGUCGGAUACUGGAUGGCUUGAAUUCGGGAGAGGGAUGCAGAAUUCCAGGUGUAGCGGUGAAAUGCGUAGAUAUCUGGAGGAAUACCGGUGGCGAAGGCGGCAUCCUGGACCGACAUUGACGCUCAGGCACGAAAGCGUGGGGAGCAAACAGG